rnacentral:rRNA from 1 species
UACGUAGGGGGCAAGCGUUGUCCGGAAUCAUUGGGCGUAAAGAGCGUGUAGGCGGCCCGAUAAGUCCGCUGUGAAAGUCCAGGGCUCAACCCUGGAAUGCCGGUGGAUACUGUCGGGCUCGAAUCCGGAAGAGGUGAGUGGAAUUCCUGGUGUAGCGGUGAAAUGCUUAGAUAUGACAUAGAACACCAAUUGCGAAGGCAGCUUACUACACAGUAAUUGACGCUGAGGCACGAAGGCGUGGGGAUCAAACAGG